GCCGUCGUAGCUCAGCGGUGGAGCGUCCGGCUGUUAACCGGCAGGUCGGCGGUUCGAAUCCGCCCGACGGCG
rnacentral:tRNA from 1 species